rnacentral:rRNA from 1 species
AGUGAACGCUGGCGGUAUGCCUAACACAUGCAAGUCGAACGGCAGCACAGUAAGAGCUUGCUCUUACGGGUGGCGAGUGGCGGACGGGUGAGGAAUACAUCGGAAUCUACUUUUUCGUGGGGGAUAACGUAGGGAAACUUACGCUAAUACCGCAUACGACCUACGGGUGAAAGCAGGGGAUCUUCGCACCUUGCGCGAUUGAAUGAGCCGAUGUCGGAUUAGCUAGUUGGCGGGGUAAAGGCCCACCAAGGCGACGAUCGGUAGCUGGUCUGAGAGGCUGAUCAGCCACCCUGGAACUGAGACACGGUCCAGACUCCUACGGGAGGGAGCAGUGGGGAAUAUGGGACAGUGGGCGCAAGCCUGAUCCAGCCAUACCGAGUGGGUGAAGAAGGCCUUCGGGUUGGAAAGACGUUUUGUGGGGAAAGAAAAGCAGCAGGUUAAUACGCAGCUGUUGUGACGGUAAUCAAAGAAUAAGCACCGGCUAACUUCGUG